CACGUCGUGGUGCGGCACGGUGCGGGCGCCGUUCGCGUCGACGGUCUGCUCGACCAGGCCCCGGCCGCGGUUCCAGACCGUCGUCGUGC
rnacentral:tRNA from 1 species